AGAACGAACGCUGGCGGCAUGCCUAACACAUGCAAGUCGAACGAGACCUUCGGGUCUAGUGGCGCACGGGUGCGUAACGCGUGGGAAUCUGCCCUUGGGUUCGGGAUAACAGUUGGAAACGACUGCUAAUACCGGAUGAUGUCUUCGGACCAAAGAUUUAUCGCCCAAGGAUGAGCCCGCGUAGGAUUAGCUUGUUGGUGAGGUAAGAGCUCACC
rnacentral:rRNA from 1 species